GUGGGGAAUAUUGGACAAUGGGGGCAACCCUGAUCCAGCCAUGCCGCGUGUGUGAAGAAGGCCUUCGGGUUGUAAAGCACUUUCAGUGGGGAGGAAGGCCUGUUGGUUAAUACCCAACGGGAUUGACGUUACCCACAGAAGAAGCACCGGCAAACUCCGUGCCAGCAGCCGCGGUAAUACGUAGGGUGCAAGCGUUAAUCGGAAUUACUGGGCGUAAAGCGUGCGCAGGCGGUUGUGUAAGACAGUUGUGAAAUCCCCGGGCUCAACCUGGGAAUUGCAUCUGUGACUGCACGGCUGGAGUGCGGCAGAGGGGGAUGGAAUUCCGCGUGUAGCAGUGAAAUGCGUAGAUAUGCGGAGGAACACCGAUGGCGAAGGCAAUCCCCUGGGCCUGCACUGACGCUCAUGCACGAAAGCGUGGGGAGCAAACAGGAUUAGAAACCCGAGUAGUCC
rnacentral:rRNA from 1 species